AUGGCGGACGGGUGAGUAACGCGUGAGAAUCUGCCUUGGGGUCGGGGACAACCACUGGAAACGGUGGCUAAUACCGGAUAAGCCGAUUGGUGAAAGAUUUAUUGCCCGAAGAGGAGCUCGCGUCUGAUUAGCUAGUUGGUGAGGUAAGAGCUCACCAAGGCAGCGAUCAGUAGCUGGUCUGAGAGGACGAUCAGCCACACUGGGACUGAGACACGGCCCAGACUCCUACGGGAGGCAGCAGUGGGGAAUUUUCCGCAAUGGGCGAAAGCCUGACGGAGCAAGACCGCGUGAGGGAGGAAGGCUCUUGGGUUGUAAACCUCUUUUCUCAGGGAAGAAGCUCUGACGGUACCUGAGGAAUCAGCCUCGGCUAACUCCGUGCCAGCAGCCGCGGUAAUACGGAGGAGGCAAGCGUUAUCCGGAAUUAUUGGGCGUAAAGCGUCCGCAGGUGGCGAUUCAAGUCUGCUGUCAAAGCACGGGGCUUAACUCCGUAAAGGCAGUGGAAACUGAAUAGCUAGAGUGCCGUAGGGGUAGAGGGAAUUCCCGGUGUAGCGGUGAAAUGCGUAGAGAUCGGGAAGAACAUCGGUGGCGAAAGCGCUCUACUGGACGGCAACUGACACUCAGGGACGAAAGCUAGGGGAGCGAAUGGGAUUAGAUACCCC
rnacentral:rRNA from 1 species